rnacentral:lncRNA from 1 species
AGUAGGCAGGCAGCUGUGGCCGCAAACUGUCUGGGGUCUUACGCUGGGGGCUGUAGCUUUUUCUCCUCUGGGAGUAAGUGCAUUGGGUGAAAGAAGAGCCGUGGGGGGAGCGAGCCGGGCCCGGGGCUGCGGCUGCGGCCGCUGGGCUGCAGCUCCCCAGCCCAACUGCCAGCGUGCUCCGAGGUACUGGAAAGGUCUUGGCAGGGUGGCUGGACCCUUGGCAGGUAAAUCCCGCGACUUCUGUACUGUACCGAGCUAGCUCGGGGGAGGGGAGAAUGCCGGGCAGAUGUUCUUUCUUGUGUCCCCCUCCUGCUCUUGCUGUGUCCCAGCUUUGACUCUUCUACGUGGCUCCAUUGCCCAAGCCCUGGGACCUAGCGCACAGUGCUUCAUGGGGUUUGCUCAGGCAGAUGAGUGGGUGUGUCCGGGCUGGUCCUGAAGGACCUGGGCUUCUUCCCUUAGCCAAGCCCAGGGUUAGCUUACUGGGGUUUGGGCCGCCUGGGGCAAAAUCCGCCCUGAAAGCUAUGUCAGACUGUAAGUCUCCUACCAUCUUCCCCUGAACCCCCCCACCCCGCCUCAGCCAUACUGUUGACAGCAGCCCUCCAGAGAAGGGGAGGGGGGUGUGGCCGCAGUCUGGCCAAGUCUGCAUCAGAACAACCUGAGUGAAACAGAAAAGUGCCAAAUUUCUUAAAAGGGAGCUUUCCUUUCUUUAAAAAAAAAUCCCCCUCCCCUUUUCUCUUUGGGGGGAUGGUAAUGACAAGAGGACCUUUUUUCCCCCUUUUCUUUUUCUUCUUCUGCGGGGACUGAAUGGAUUCAAUAUGGCCCUUAGAAAAGCCUGGCAUCUUCCCCCCCCCCCCUUGGCCCCUGUCUUUAUCUGGAGAGUGGGGGUCAUUGGGUUUGCUGCUUCCUCCCUUCCCAUUCCUGUAGCUCCCAGAAGACGCUGCCCUCAGUUUGUGACCUGCUACGAUGACUGACAUACUUCUGAGUGAACAGAACAUUUUAGAUUCAGGCUCUAGCAGGCUUUGCUUCCCUAGGUGGUGGCUGAGGGUAGAGUGUGGGUGUUGGGGGAUAUAGAUGGUUCUUCUAAGGAGAUAACCAGAGGCUCCAUUGGGUUGUUUUUUGCCUGUCUGCUUGUUUGUUUGUUCCCACCUUCCAGAGUCCAUUUCUAGAUUCUUGGGGUUUCUGGGCUGUGUGGGCUGUAAAAGCAGAGGGAAGGGUGCGUGCCUUGGCUUUGGAAAGCCUGAUGGGGGUGGUUGCGGUGCUAUUUAAAAAAAAAAAAAAGUGGCUUCCACCGGGGAAGCCCUUAGCCAUGUUAGUUUUGCUCCCUUCCCCAAUGGUUUUGCAGACUCAAAUCCAGGCCAACUGUAUGGCUGUCUGAGGUGUUGGAACAGAAGGAGGUCCAUUCCUGUUGGUGACAGCACUGUGGCCCUGUUCUAGGAUGAGCCAGGUAUAAAAGGUCAGUGUGGUUUUCACUGGGCCAUGUGUAAAAUUAUAAUUGGUCAGGAUGUGUGAUUUGGCACUUGAGCAUCCAAUCACAGGCACCUUUGAGUAAAGGGGCUCACUGUGGUAAUGGACGUAAAUGGAUGAUUAAUAGGCUGGAAUCUGGGAAGAGAGCCAAAUAGUCCUCUUUUUUUUUUUCCUGGAUACAAAUGUCAUACUCCUCUAUGUCCGUGCAAGACACAACAUGAAAAGAAUCUAGAAGGUAUGCUGGGUUAAAGCUGGCUAUUGGUAAUCCAGAAUCCAGAGAGACCUCAGUAUGUAAGAGGCAGAUUCUUUAAAUCUCCCAACAGACAAGUACACAUUGUGAUGAGAGUGCAAGCAAUGGUCCACAAGACCCCCGGAACAUAGGAGUGCUGAUCAUUCCUACAGGUUGUGGGCAUUUCCGUUUACAGGUGGAAGUGGUAUACAGAGAAGACAUGUUUGCUGAGGGUUUGGGAGAGACUGGGUAGUAGAUUUAUUUGAUAGAUGAGAAAAGUGGAAAAUGAGAGUAAAGAUGGCAGGGGUUGCCAUUAGAGAUUCUGCUAUUAUAAAGUCAAGCCUAAGCACAGGGUCAAAGAGAAUGACUGAUACAAGAGAAAUCAGAUCUAGAAAUCGGAGUGAAUAGGUUGAAGUUAAUGGAGUUGGUAGAAGCAGAGCUGUAGUGGAGAUAAAAAGGCCAGCAUCAUGCCAGGAGCUCAAGAGUCCUAUUUCCUCUGGUGAAAUGGUAAUGGAAAAGUUUUGCUAGUCAAGUCAGCAAUGGUUCAAUAAAGGCUUAUACGGGACUUUUUGUAACCCAUUUUCAGGAACCAGUAACUUCAGGCAAAGGAAUGAGAAGAAAUGUGAUGGGGAGCAGUCUUAAACAAACAAACACAAAAAAAAACCAAUGCUUUCAUAGUGGGUGACAGAGGGCACGGUGGGUGGGGGGAACAGGAGAGACUAGUAUCUGAGACAGGAGUCUGACUGUUUUGCAUGGCUGAGUUAGGUUUAGGACAAAAACAGACAAGAAAGAACGAAAGAAGGAAGG